rnacentral:misc_RNA from 1 species
GAUGAAGAACGUAGCGAAAUGCGAUAAGUAAUGUGAAUUGCAGAAUUCAGUGAAUCAUCGAAUCUUUGAACGCACAUUGCGCCCGCCAGUAUUCUGGCGGGCAUGCCUGUCCGAGCGUCAUUUCAACCCUCGAACCCCUCCGGGGGGUCGGCGUUGGGGAUCGGCCCUGCCUUUGGCGGUGGCCGUCUCCGAAAUACAGUGGCGGUCUCGCCGCAGCCUCUCCUGCGCAGUAGUUUGCACACUCGCAUCGGGAGCGCGGCGCGUCCACAGCCGUUAAACACCCAACUUCUGAAAUGUUGACCUCGGAUCAGGUAGGAAUACCCGCUGAACUUAAGCAUAUCAAUAAGCGGAGGA